rnacentral:rRNA from 1 species
AUUGAACGCUGGCGGCAGGCUUAACACAUGCAAGUCGAGCGGGGAAAGGUAGCUUGCUACCUGACCUAGCGGCGGACGGGUGAGUAAUGCUUAGGAAUCUGCCUAUUAGUGGGGGACAACAUUCCGAAAGGAAUGCUAAUACCGCAUACGCCCUACGGGGGAAAGCAGGGGAUCUUCGGACCUUGCGCUAAUAGAUGAGCCUAAGUCCGAUUAGCUAGUUGGUGGGGUAAAGGCCUAACAAGGCGACGAUCUGUAGCGGGUCUGAGAGGAUGAGCCGCCACACUGGGACUUGAACACGGCCCAGACUCCUACGGGAGGCAGCAGUGGGGAAUAUUGGACAAUGGGCGAAAGCCUGAUCCAGCCAUGCCGCGUGUGUGAAGAAGGCCUUUUGGUUGUAAAGCACUUUAAGCGAGGAGGAGGCUACUUUAGAUAAUACCUAGAGAUAGUGGACGUUACUCGCAGAAUAAGCACCGGCUAACUCUGUGCCAGCAGCCGCAGUAAUAC